UGAAGUUCAAUGACAGCUACAGCAUCCGUUUUAUCAAUUUUAAGUGUACGUGUUUUUGCAGCAAAGAACUGUUCCAAAGUAGAAUGUAAGAAAGAAUUCAGAUUAUUUUCAGUCAAUGGAUCGGAACAAGCCGAUAUGUUCUGAACUUCUUCGGGCAUCAUUAAUGCGCAACAGCACUGGGGGAAAUGGUUGCUGGAUAUUGGCAGAAACUGGAACACAUGUCGAUACAGAGCACCCCAAAUGUGCUCAAUGGGUGACAUGUCUGAUUCUUCAAAGAAGCCACGCUUUGCCUUGAUGACAGCUUUACAAAUGCAAUGCAAGUCAAUGGAGAUUGGAGAGCGAGUAUGGAGGUAAAAUAGUGACUUAAUUAUACAAGCAUGUAACUUCUUUUGAGAAUAAAUGCAACAACACUUGCAAGUGCAUAACGCAAUGUGUGAAUAAACACAAUAUUUGCAAACAUAAAUUGAUUUGUUAAUAAAUUCAAUAAGAUUUGCAAGCAUGCAACUACAUUUCAGAAUGACACUCAUUUACAAGCUAGUUAAAGUUAGCAAGCUGUGAUAUCUGCUCAUUUUGGCUAACUAGCUAAGCCAACCAACUACACACCAAAUAUACACAGAGCAAAUAAUGAUUUUAUAAGCUAAUGUUAGUCUCAACCAAAUGACAAGUACAUAGCUAGACCUAUUGCUCUGAUACACAAUGUAAGAACCACUUACGUAAGAACCACUUAGAUACAGGCUAGCCAGAAGGCUCUAAUACUAGCUAGCUAACCAGUCAUGUCUGACAUCCUAAUUGGGUUUUUUGAUUGAAUGUUUUGUUUGUGGGAACUGUAGAAUUGUUAUUUUUUUACCAUUUAGAUUCUAUAGGUUACCCACAGGUUGUGGCGAUUUAGCAUGUAAAUCUUGGUGGGGCAAAAUAAUAUAUACUGUAUGUUUUUUGAUGCAUGCCAGCAAAGCUACUACACAACACAAGACUAAACAAUACAUUCAUUGCACUAUAAUGAUGACUAAUGGUGCCAACAACUGUUAGGGCUUACAUAAAGCUGUCCCAACACCAGUCCCAACACCUUACCACUGCUUACCUGGCUAUCAGUGGAGCCUUGUCUGGCAUCGAAACAGUUCAUUCAGCCUCAU